GUAAACGGGUGGCGUCAAGCUGCGAACCCAGAGGAUUCAGCUGGCUAGGAUGUUGUGAUGCGCCUGGCGCAUCCAUCAGUCGGAAUAAGAUGUGAUAGUCCACUGGGAGACGGUGGGCCCGGCCGCAAGGUUGGGAUAUGUGUACCGGGUGUUAGCCGGAGCAUGCUAUUCAUCUGUUGGGCUGUCUAGUCAGUGCACUUUCUCUGUGGUGAACACCACGACCGGUGGAAUUGCCAGUCUGCUGUAGUCAAGUCUUGCUGAGAGGGUCCUUGUGGCCAACUUGGUAGGAUCACAGGCAAUGUCAGUGAACGGCGUAGGGGUGCCUUUGGUGUUCUUACGUGUUAUCGGCCACUGCUUGUCAACGGGCCUGCUCGGCGGUUGUUGUAACUGCUGCUGGGUGGUCUGGUGGGCUAUGGUGGUAAUAAAAACUGUGCAAGGCACCGGAGAUGUCGGCCUCAAAUGCACUCUGCACUGGCAUGUUACAAGUGCGAGGGGGUGCCAUUGCGGUCUGCCUGUUGUUGAGUCUGAUUGUCGUGUCGCCUGCGCAAAGUGGGCCCGGCAGUGGCUUGAUGCAGGAUGGGCCGUGGAUGGUGUCUCUCAGGUGUAGGGUGCGGUGGGCCCAAUAGUCAGUGGUGCUGUGGUAGACGAGCUACCCGACCCGUCUUGAAACACGGACCAAGGAGUUUAACAUGUAUGCAAGUCAAGGGGUCCUACGAAACCCAAAGGCGCAGUGAAAGUAAAGCUUCGACUUGUUCUCGGAGUGAGGUGAGAUCCUGCCGUGACUCGCAUCGCUUGGUGCCAGCAUCAGGCAAAGAGCGGUAGGCGCAUCACCGGCCCGUCCCAUGAUGUGGUCAUUGGAUGUCUGCAGUGGUUGCUUGC
rnacentral:rRNA from 1 species